GCCGAGAUGACGGAGCGGUCAAUCGUAACAGACUGUAAAUCUGUCGCCCGUUUGGGCUACAUAGGUUCGAAUCCUAUUCUCGGCA
rnacentral:tRNA from 1 species